rnacentral:rRNA from 1 species
ACUCCUACGGGAGGCAGCAGUAGGGAAUCUUCCACAAUGGACGAAAGUCUGAUGGAGCAACGCCGCGUGAGUGAAGAAGGUUUUCGGAUCGUAAAACUCUGUUGUAAGGGAAGAACACGUACGAGAGUAACUGCUCGUACCUUGACGGUACCUUAUUAGAAAGCCACGGCUAACUACGUGCCAGCAGCCGCGGUAAUACGUAGGUGGCAAGCGUUGUCCGGAAUUAUUGGGCGUAAAGCGCGCGCAGGCGGUCCUUUAAGUCUGAUGUGAAAGCCCACGGCUCAACCGUGGAGGGUCAUUGGAAACUGGGGGACUUGAGUACAGAAGAGGAAAGCGGAAUUCCAAGUGUAGCGGUGAAAUGCGUAGAGAUUUGGAGGAACACCAGUGGCGAAGGCGGCUUUCUGGUCUGUAACUGACGCUGAGGCGCGAAAGCGUGGGGAGCAAACAGGAUUAGAUACCCUGGUAGUCCACGCCGUAAACGAUGAGUGCUAAGUGUUAGGGGGUUUCCGCCCCUUAGUGCUGCAGCUAACGCAUUAAGCACUCCGCCUGGGGAGUACGA